CACGUAGGUGGCAAGCGUUAUCCGGAAUUACUGGGCGUAAAGGGUCCGCAGGUGGGAUGGUCAGUCCGAUGUGACAGUACCCGGCUUAAACUGGGUGAGGCCUUGGAAACUGCCAUUCUUGAGUCACGGAGAGGGAAGCGGAAAUUCCGGGUGUAGGUGGUGGAAUGCGUAGAGAUCCGGAGGAACUCCAAAGGCGCAAGCAGCUUCCUGGCCGAGGACUGACACUGAGGGACGAAAGCG
rnacentral:rRNA from 1 species